rnacentral:rRNA from 1 species
GACGAACGCUGGCGGCGUGCUUAACACAUGCAAGUCGAACGCUGAAGCUCAGCUUGCUGGGUGGAUGAGUGGCGAACGGGUGAGUAACACGUGAGUAACCUGCCCUCUUCUUUGGGAUAACGCCCGGAAACGGGUGCUAAUACUGGAUAUUCACUGAUUCUCGCAUGGGGGUUGGUGGAAAGGUUUUUUCUGGUGGGGGAUGGGCUCGCGGCCUAUCAGCUUGUUGGUGGGGUGAUGGCCUACCAAGGCUUUGACGGGUAGCCGGCCUGAGAGGGUGACCGGUCACAUUGGGACUGAGAUACGGCCCAGACUCCUACGGGAGGCAGCAGUGGGGAAUAUUGCACAAUGGGCGAAAGCCUGAUGCAGCGACGCCGCGUGAGGGAUGGAGGCCUUCGGGUUGUAAACCUCUUCCGCUCAUGGUCAAGCCGCAGCUUUGGGUUGUGGUGAGGGUAGUGGGUAAAGAAGCGCCGGCUAACUACGUG